rnacentral:rRNA from 1 species
ACGGAAGGCAGCAGUGGGGAAUAUUGCACAAUGGGCGAAAGCCUGAUGCAGCGACGCCGCGUGAGUGAAGGAGUAUCUCGGUAUGUAAAGCUCUAUCAGCAGGGAAGAAAAUGACGGUACCUGACUAAGAAGCCCCGGCUAACUACGUGCCAGCAGCCGCGGUAAUACGUAGGGGGCAAGCGUUAUCCGGAUUUACUGGGUGUAAAGGGAGCGUAGGCGGCCAGACAAGUCAGAUGUGAAAGCCCGGGGCUCAACCCCGGGACUGCAUUUGAAACUGUGGGGCUAGAGUACUGGAGAGGCAAGCGGAAUUCCUAGUGUAGCGGUGAAAUGCGUAGAUAUUAGGAAGAACACCAGUGGCGAAGGCGGCUUGCUGGACAGAGACUGACGCUGAGGCUCGAAAGCGUGGGGAGCAAACAGGAUUAGAUACCCUGGUA